rnacentral:rRNA from 1 species
AACGAACGCUGGCGGUAGGCCUAACACAUGCAAGUCGAACGGAAGCACAGUAAGAGCUUGCUCUUACGGGUGGGGAGUGGCGGGCGGGUGACGAAUACAUCGGGAUCUACUCUUUCGUGGGGGAUAACGUAGGGAAAGUUACGCUAGUACCGCAUACGCCCUACCGGGGAAAGGGGGGGAACUUCGGACCUUGCGCGAUUGGAUGAGCCGAUGUCGGGUUAGCUAGUUGGCGGGGGAAUGGCCCACCAAGGCGCCGAUCCGUAGCUGGUCUGAGAGGAUGAUCACCCACACUGGAACUGAGACACGGUCCCUACUCCUGCGGUAGGCCGCAGUGGGGAAUCUUAGGCAAUGGGGGCGAGCCUGAUACAGCCAUACCGCGUGGGUGAAGAAGGCGUUCGGGUUGUAAAGACCUUUUGUUGGUAGAGAAAAGCAGCAGGUUAAGACGCCGCGGUUCUGACGGUACCCGAAGAAGAAGCACCGGCUAACUUCGUG